rnacentral:rRNA from 1 species
GAUGAACGCUGGCGGCGUGCCUAAUACAUGCAAGUCGAGCGAACAGACGAGGAGCUUGCUCCUCUGACGUUAGCGGCGGACGGGUGAGUAACACGUGGAUAACCUACCUAUAAGACUGGGAUAACUUCGGGAAACCGGAGCUAAUACCGGAUAAUAUAUUAAACCGCAUGGUUCAAUAGUGAAAGACGGCUUUGCUGUCACUUAUAGAUGGAUCCGCGCCGCAUUAGCUAGUUGGUAAGGUAACGGCUUACCAAGGCAACGAUGCGUAGCCGACCUGAGAGGAUGAUCGGCCACACUGGAACUGAGACACGGUCCAGACUCCUACGGGAGGCAGCAGUGGGGAAUCUUCCGCAAUGGGCGAAAGCCUGACGGAGCAACGCCGCGUGAGUGAUGAAGGUCUUCGGAUCGUAAAACUCUGUUAUUAGGGAAGAACAAAUGUGUAAGUAACUAUGCACGUCUUGACGGUACCUAAACAGAAAGCCACGGCUAACUACGUG